GAUGAAGAACGUAGUGAAAUGCGAUACGUAAUGUGAAUUGCAGAAUUCAGUGAAUCAUCGAAUCUUUGAACGCACAUUGCGCCCAUUAGUAUUCUAGUGGGCAUGCCUGUUCGAGCGUCAUUAAGUCCACUUAAGCCCUGCUUAGUGUUGGGAGACUGCUCCAGCGGUGCUACCCUGUAGCUACCCUGCAGCUCCUCAAAGACAGCGGCGGAGUUGUGGUAUCCUCUGAGCUUAGUAACUUGUUCUAGCUUUCGAGUACACCACUUCCCCUGCCGUAAAACCCUUAAUUUUUAAUGGUUGACCUCGGAUCAGGUAGGAAUACCCGCUGAACUUAAGCAUAUCAAUAAGCGGAGGA
rnacentral:misc_RNA from 1 species